UAGCUCUGGAUUCUUUUAAGUCAUGCAUAAAUCUUUCCCCUUUUAUUAAAGAUUUCUGUGUAGAGGAACAUCAAUGAGUUUGAUGAAAUAUUUUUGUGAGCGUUGCUUUGGCAAAGCU